AGCCUUAAGGAUCAUUUAAGGUAAAGCCUGCCCAGUGCAAUUUGUUAACGGCCGCAGUACCCUGACUGUGCUAAGGUAGCAUAAUCAGUUGGCUUUUAAAUGGAGUCGGGAAUGAAUGGAUUAAUGGGGCUCAGCUGUCUCUCCUAUAAUUACUUGAAUUUACUUAUUAGGUGAAAAUGCCUAUGUAUAGAAAAAAGACGAGAAGACCCUAGGAGUUUUUAUUAAAGAUUUUAGAAUAAAAAAAAAUCUACGUUUUUGUUGGGGCGACACGAGAAGAAAAUAAACUUCUCUAUUAAACAAGCCGACUAAGGUAUGAGUGAUUAAACUACCCUAGGGAUAACAGCGUAAUUCUUUAUGAGUUUGCGACCUCGAUGUUGGACUAGGAAUCUACUAGGCUAGCCGCCUAGAUAUAUUGUUCUGUUCGAACUUAAAUUCC
rnacentral:rRNA from 1 species